rnacentral:snRNA from 1 species
GUGCUCACUUCAGCAGCAUACAUACUAAAAUUAGAAUGAUACAGAAAAGUUAGCAUGCAUAAGGUUGACAUGCAAAUUUGUGAAGCAAUCUUUAGUUUU